CCUGUGCCCCUGGGCGGGCCGCCCAUGUCCAUGGGCGGCGCCCCCAUGCCGCACACGAUGAUGAGCUACGAGGUUGAUGACGGCGAGAGUAUGUCGAGUGCCCGUGUGCAGGGAGACGAGGAUAUGAUGGAGUGGAGCGGGGCGCGACGCGUGCGGUCGCCCAGCCCGCUGCUGCCCGUCUGAGCCGCGCCCGCCUAUGGCUUGGACCAUACGCUCGCCGCUCGCGACAUCUACCAAUCGUCUAUUAGUAAUAUUAGUUCGGACUAUUACUUAGCAUAGUCUACUGUGGUAAAACGUGUGAACUGUGUAAAUUUAAACGGAAAGCUCUAUUCUAAAUCAAAUGUAUCUCCCGUAUUAUACAAACGUCAUCCAGCCACGACGUAAGAGUCGACAAUGGUCGUAUUCAAACAUCGUAGGUAUGUAUUCGAAAACUUAAAACUAUUGUUUUUACUAUACUAGUUAUUCAAAGUAGUGAUUUUUGAUCUUUCGUUUUGUUACCCAAUUCAAAAAUUUUACCUAAGAAAUUUAGC